UGGUAGUUUCAGUCAAGUGACGCGUGUGC
rnacentral:piRNA from 1 species